UUGGGAUGCUAGCUCUCUUGUAGAGAUCGCUCCCUGAAUUUUUGAAUCGAUUUGACUUUUGAUUCUCUUCUCAAGAGAAUCAAAUAGAUCUAUAGGAGAAAUUUAAAAUCAGAUCAAAUCUGAUUUCUUUUCUACUUUUUUAUUCUCAAGAAAAAAUCAAAGAUCUAUUGAAAAAGAUAAGAGUUCAAAUCUUUUUCUUCUUCCUUUCUUGUCCAACC
rnacentral:lncRNA from 1 species